rnacentral:rRNA from 1 species
GACCUCGGAUCAGGUAGGAAUACCCGCUGAACUUAAGCAUAUCAAUAAGCGGAGGAAAAGAAACCAACAGGGAUUGCCCUAGUAACGGCGAGUGAAGCGGCAACAGCUCAAAUUUGAAAUCUGGCUCUCGGGCCCGAGUUGUAAUUUGUAGAGGAUACUUUUGAUGCGGUGCCUUCCGAGUUCCCUGGAACGGGACGCCAUAGAGGGUGAGAGCCCCGUCUGGUUGGAUGCCAAAUCUCUGUAAAGUUCCUUCGACGAGUCGAGUAGUUUGGGAAUGCUGCUCUAAAUGGGAGGUAUAUGUCUUCUAAAGCUAAAUACCGGCCAGAGACCGAUAGCGCACAAGUAGAGUGAUCGAAAGAUGAAAAGCACUUUGAAAAGAGAGUUAAAAAGUACGUGAAAUUGUUGAAAGGGGAAGCGUUUAUGACCAGACUUGGGGCUUGGUUAAUCAUCUGGGGGUUCUCCCCAGGUGCACUUUUUCCAGUUCCAGGGC